rnacentral:rRNA from 1 species
UACGUAGGGUGCAGGCGUUAAUCGGAAUUACUGGGCGUAAAGCGUGCGCAGGCGGUUUGCUAAGACAGGUGUGAAAUCCCCGGGCUUAACCUGGGAACUGCGCUUGUUACUGACAAGCUUGAGUGUGGCAGAGGGGGGUGGAAUUCCACGUGUAGCAGUGAAAUGCGUAGAGAUGUGGAGGAACACCGAUGGCGAAGGCAGCCCCCUGGGCUAACACUGACGCUCAUGCACGAAAGCGUGGGGAGCAAACAGG